rnacentral:rRNA from 1 species
UACAGAGGUCUCAAGCGUUGUUCGGAUUCAUUGGGUGUAAAGGGUGCGUAGGCGGCGCGGUAAGUCGGGUGUGAAAUCUUGGAGCUUAACUCCGAAACUGCAUUCGAUACUGCUGUGCUUGAGGACUGGAGAGGAGACUGGAAUUUACGGUGUAGCGGUGAAAUGCGUAGAUAUCAGGAGGAACACCGAUGGCGAAGGCAGCUCGCUGGGACGGUACUGACGCUGAGGCGCGAAAGCGUGGGGAGCGAACAGG